UGUUCUUGCCUUCUAAAAUCCCACUCUUUCCAUUGUGCCCUCAAAAUUUCUCUCUACCCUUUGUCCAAAAUUUUCAACCUUAUUUAUUAUUUAAAAAAAAACCAAAUAGAAAAUAGAAAGUUUUGAGAAAUAGCACAACCUAGCGGGCACUCCCCCCUCAGCAUACACCACCAUCCGGUCAUCAAACCCAAGAACUGCCACCACCAUCCACUGGCGACAUCCCAGCAACCCUUUCAACGCCUUUUCGAUCACCUACAAUUUCUUGGAAAAGAUGAUCUAACUAGGUCAAAUCUUGACCCGAAUUUAGACCUGCAAGUUUUCCAAAUUUCUUUGACAUCUGACCCUCCCCAACCCUUCUCCAA
rnacentral:misc_RNA from 1 species